GUUGGAAUAGCUUAAUUGGUUAAAGUAUGUGGUUGUUAACCACAAUGUUGGAGGUUCAAGCUUUCCUUUUAGCG
rnacentral:tRNA from 1 species